GACAGAGGCCCCAAGCGUUAGGCGGAAUCACUGGGCUUAAAGCGUGUGUAGGCGGAUCGUUAAGUGUCUUGUGAAAUCCCACGGCUCACCCGCGGAACUGCUGGGCAUACUGGCGAUCUUGGGCCAACUAGGGGCAGUCGGAACAAGCGGUGGAGCGGUGAAAUGCGUAGAUAUCGCUUGGAACGCCGAAGGUGAAAACAGGUUGCUGGGGGUGUGCUGACGCUGAGACACGAAAGCCAGGGGAGCGAACGGG
rnacentral:rRNA from 1 species